rnacentral:lncRNA from 1 species
UAGCCUACACCACAGCCACAACGCGAGUCUCGUCAGUACCAAAAUAUGGAGAAGCUGCAACCAGCAACUGCAAGCGAGGGCAGUUUUCAAAUUAGCGGCAACCCGGUGGAUCAGUUUGGUUGCAAACGCUGCUGGUCACGUUCAGCAAGCAGCGGGGCAAUCACAAGCCGCGUGAGCUAACUAACCUACGAUCGGGCCUAUGUUCGUUAUGCGUGUGUACAUGCAUGCACACGUUUGGGUCGUGAUCUUGUGGUCAAG